rnacentral:rRNA from 1 species
UACGUAGGGGGCAAGCGUUAAUCGGAAUUACUGGGCGUAAAGCGUGCGCAGGCGGUUCGUUGUGUCGGCGGUGAAAGCCCCGGGCUUAACCUGGGAAUGGCCGUUGAAACUGGCGAACUGGAGUGUGGCAGAGGGGGGUGGAAUUCCGCGUGUAGCAGUGAAAUGCGUAGAGAUGCGGAGGAACACCGAUGGCGAAGGCAGCCCCCUGGGCUAACACUGACGCUCAGGCACGAAAGCGUGGGGAGCAAACAGG